rnacentral:rRNA from 1 species
GUUUGAUCAUGGCUCAGGACGAACGCUGGCGGCGUGCUUAACACAUGCAAGUCGAACGAUGAACCGCUUUCGGGCGGGGAUUAGUGGCGAACGGGUGAGUAACACGUGGGCAAUCUGCCCUGCACUCUGGGACAAGCCCUGGAAACGGGGUCUAAUACCGGAUAUGACCGUCUGCCGCAUGGUGGAUGGUGUAAAGCUCCGGCGGUGCAGGAUGAGCCCGCGGCCUAUCAGCUUGUUGGUGAGGUAGUGGCUCACCAAGGCGACGACGGGUAGCCGGCCUGAGAGGGCGACCGGCCACACUGGGACUGAGACACGGCCCAGACUCCUACGGGAGGCAGCAGUGGGGAAUAUUGCACAAUGGGCGAAAGCCUGAUGCAGCGACGCCGCGUGAGGGAUGACGGCCUUCGGGUUGUAAACCUCUUUCAGCAG